GCACUGCUGAGGAGUCCCACGAUAGGACAAAACGGCCGUCCAGUGU
rfam:Schistosoma rodhaini strain Burundi genome assembly, scaffold: SROB_scaffold0013048